AAGUGCAAUCAUACCAGUAUUAAUGCAUCAGAUCCCAACAAAACUCUACAGUUAAGUGUGCUUGGACGAAAGUAGUACUAGGAUGGAUGAUCUCCUGGGAAAGCCUCAUCUUGCACCUC
rfam:Glycine soja cultivar W05 scaffold1493_37, whole genome shotgun sequence.